rnacentral:rRNA from 1 species
AUUGAACGCUGGCGGCAGGCUUAACACAUGCAAGUCGAGCGGGGUGAUGGUGCUUGCACUAUCACUUAGCGGCGGACGGGUGAGUAAUGCUUAGGAAUCUGCCUAUUAGUGGGGGGCAACAUCUCGAAAGGGAUGCUAAUACCGCAUACGUCCUACGGGAGAAAGCAGGGGAUCACUUGUGACCUUGCGCUAAUAGAUGAGCCUAAGUCGGAUUAGCUAGUUGGUGGGGUAAAGGCCUACCAAGGCGACGAUCUGUAGCGGGUCUGAGAGGAUGAUCCGCCACACUGGGACUGAGACACGGCCCAGACUCCUACGGGAGGCAGCAGUGGGGAAUAUUGGACAAUGGGGGGAACCCUGAUCCAGCCAUGCCGCGUGUGUGAAGAAGGCCUUAUGGUUGUAAAACACUUUAAGCGAGGAGGAGGCUCUUUUGGUUAAUACCCAAGAUGAGUGGACGUUACUCGCAGAAUAAGCACCGGCUAACUCUGUGCCAGCCGCCGCGGUAA